UACGUAGGGUGCGAGCGUUAAUCGGAAUUACUGGGCGUAAAGAGUGCGUAGGCGGUUCUUUGUGUCCGCUGUGAAAGCCCCGGGCUCAACCUGGGAAUUGCGCUCGAGACUGUGGUGCUGGAGUUCGGGAGAGGAGCGUGGGAAUUCCCAGUGGUAGAGGUGAAAUUCGUAGAUAUUGGGAAGAAACACCGGUGGCGAAGGGCGGCGCUCUGG
rnacentral:rRNA from 1 species